UACGUAGGGGGCGAGCGUUGUCCGGAUUUAUUGGGCGUAAAGAGCGUGUAGGCGGUUUGGUAGGUCCGCUGUGAAAACUCGAGCUCAACCUCGAGACGCCGGUGGAAACCAUCAGACUAGAGUCCGGAAGAGGAGAGUGGAAUUCCUGGUGUAGCGGUGAAAUGCGCAGAUAUCAGGAAGAACACCCGUGGCUAAGGCGGCUCUCUAGUACGGUACUGACGCUGAGACGCGAAAGCGUGGGGAGCGAACAGG
rnacentral:rRNA from 1 species